GUGGGGAAUCUUGCGCAAUGGGCGAAAGCCUGACGCAGCCAUGCCGCGUGAAUGAUGAAGGUCUUAGGAUUGUAAAAUUCUUUCACCGGGGACGAUAAUGACGGUACCCGGAGAAGAAGCCCCGGCUAACUUCGUGCCAGCAGCCGCGGUAAUACGAAGGGGGCUAGCGUUGCUCGGAAUUACUGGGCGUAAAGGGCGCGUAGGCGGACAGUUUAGUCAGAGGUGAAAGCCCAGGGCUCAACCUUGGAAUUGCCUUUGAUACUGGCUGUCUUGAGUUUGGGAGAGGUGAGUGGAACUCCGAGUGUAGAGGUGAAAUUCGUAGAUAUUCGGAAGAACACCAGUGGCGAAGGCGACUCACUGGCCCAAUACUGACGCUGAGGCGCGAAAGCGUGGGGAGCAAACAGGAUUAGAAACCCUUGUAGUCC
rnacentral:rRNA from 1 species